UAUAGCUCAGGUGGUAGAGCAUCUGCCUAGCAAGUGCAAGGACCUGGGUUCGAUGCCCAGUA
rnacentral:tRNA from 1 species